rnacentral:rRNA from 1 species
AGGAAUAUUGGUCAAUGGACGCAAGUCUGAACCAGCCAUGCCGCGUGCAGGAUGACGGCUCUAUGAGUUGUAAACUGCUUUUGUACGAGGGUAAACCCCGAUACGUGUAUUGGGUUGAAAGUAUCGUACGAAUAAGGAUCGGCUAAAUCCGUGCCAGCAGCCGCGGUAAUACGGAGGAUCCGAGCGUUAUCCGGAUUUAUUGGGUUUAAAGGGUGCGUAGGCUGUUUGAUAAGUUAGAGGUGAAAUGUCGGGGCUCAACCCCGAAACUGCCUCUAAUACUGUUGGACUAGAGAAUAGUUGCGGUAGGCGGAAUGUAUGGUGUAGCGGUGAAAUGCUUAGAGAUCAUACAGAACACCGAUUGCGAAGGCAGCUUACCAAACUAUAUCUGACGUUGAGGCACGAAAGCGUGGGUAGCAAACAGGA